rnacentral:rRNA from 1 species
AGAAUCAACGCUGGCGGCGUGCCUAACACAUGCAAGUCGCACGAGAAAGGGUAGCAAUACCUGAGUAAAGUGGCGCACGGGUGAGUAACACGUGACUAACCUACCCUGGAGUGGGGGAUAACUGAGGGAAACCUUAGCUAAUACCGCAUAAUACCUACGGGUCAAAGGAGCAAUUCGCUUCAGGAGGGGUCGCGGCCGAUUAGUUAGUUGGCGGGGUAAUGGCCCACCAAGACAGUGAUCGGU